GUCUAUUGCCAUACCACCCUGAACACGCCCAAUCUCAUCUGAUCUCACAAGCUAAGCAGGGUCACGCCUGGUUAGUACUUGGUUGGGAGACCGUGUGGGAAUACCGAGUGCUGCAGGGU
rnacentral:rRNA from 1 species